rnacentral:rRNA from 1 species
GUUUAUCAAAAACAUGUCCUUUUGAUUUUGAUUGAAGGUCUGGCCUGCCCAAUGAAGUUUGAAUGGCCGCAGUAUUUUGACUGUGCAAAGGUAGCAUAAUCAUUAGUUUCUUAAUUAGAAGCUGGAAUGAAAGGUUUGAUGAGAAAUUAACUGUCUCAUAAUUAUUAAAGUUGAAUUUUAUUUUUGAGUUAAAAAGCUUAAAUUUUGUAUAGGGACGAGAAGACCCUAUAGAGUUUUAUUAAUUUCUUUUUUAAGUGGAGAAGGUUGGUUUUUAGUUAAAAUUUGAAUUAAUUUUGUUGGGGUGAUAGAAAAAUUUGUUAAACUUUUUUUUUAUUUUUACACUUAUUAGUGAAUUUUUGAUCCUUUAUUUAAGAUUAAAAGAUUAAAUUACCUUAGGGAUAACAGCGUAAUUUCUUUUGAAAGUUCAUAUUUAUAAAGGAGUUUGCGACCUCGAGGUUGGAUUAAAGUUAAUUUUUGGUGUAGAGGCUAAAAUAUUAGGUCUGUUCGACCUUUAAAACUUUACAUGAUCUGAGUUCA